UCGAAAUUUUUCAAUAAAUUUUUUUUUGUUUAAAUUUUAAAAGAAUAAAAAUAGAAGAAGAUUAUUCAAUUUUUUCAGUUAAUAUUAAUGGAGAAUGGAAAAAACUCAACAAAGAAUUCAUGGAAUUAGAUUGUGAAGAAAGGCAUGAAUGAUAGUCGAUACCGAUAUAUUAGAGGUGCUGUGGCCACAAUGGAAAACUUCCAAGCCGCAUUAGAUCCUCGUAAACAGGAGCUUCUUGAAGCUAGAUUUAUUGGUGCUAGGGUAAGUUUGAUU